rnacentral:rRNA from 1 species
UCCGGUUGAUCCUGCCGGACCCCACUGCUAUCGGGGUGGGACUAAGACAUGCAAAAAAUGCGCCUCCAAGCCACGGUGGAGGCGCGGCGCACAGCUCAGUAACACGUGGCUAACCUACCCUUGGGACAGGGACAACCCCGGGAAACUGGGGCUAAUCCCCGAUAGGUGAGGACUCCUGGAAUGGGUCCUCGCUGAAAAGGCGUCUAGACCAUGCUUCUAGACGCUGCCCAAGGAUGGGGCCGCGGCCGAUCAGGUUGUUGGUGAGGUAACGGCUCACCAAGCCUAAGACCGGUACGGGCCGUGAGAGCGGGAGCCCGGAGAUGGACACUGAGACAAGGGUCCAGGCCCUACGGGGCGCAGCAGUCGCGAAACCUCCGCAAUACGCGAAAGCGUGACGGGGCCACCCCGAGUGCCGUCCGCUGAGGACGGCUUUUCCCCAGUGUAGACAGCUGGGGGAAUAAGGGGAGGGCAAGUCGGGUGUCAGCCGCCGCGGUAAUACCCGCUCCCCGAGUGGUGGGGACGCUUUAUUGGGCCUAAAGCAUCCGUAGCCGGCUGGACAAGUCCCCUGUUAAAUCCAGCGAUUUAAUCGCUGGACUGCGGGGGAUACUGUCCAGCUAGGGGGCGGGAGAGGCCGGCGGUAUUCCCGGGGUAGGGGUGAAAUCUUAUAAUCCCGGGAGGACCACCAGUGGCGAAGGCUGCCGGCUGGAACGCGCCCGACGGUGAGGGAUGAAAGCUGGGGGAGCGAACCGGAUUAGAUACCCGGGUAGUCCCAGCUGUAAACGAUGCGGGCUAGGUGUUGGCACGGCUACAAGCCGUGUCAGUGCCGCAGGGAAGCCGUUAAGCCCGCCGCCUGGGGAGUACGGCCGCAAGGCUGAAACUUAAAGGAAUUGGCGGGGGAGCACCACAAGGGGUUUUCUUGCGGUUUAAUUGGAGUCAACGCCGGG